AGAGCAGCUGGACCAGCGAAUUCAGCUGGCUGCAGAAAGGAAGAUGAAAGGCCUGUUCUGGGUGACUGUGGUCUUCUUCCUGUCUGUUGAAAACACCUCGGCUGCUGUAGACCAGAAAUGGCUUACAGAUAUUGUGCAAACCAUCAAGAA